UUAAAUGAGUUUAGUUUAAACGCAGACAACAACUUGUGCAGUUCAGGUAUCACCUGCGUAAGCUAUCAACACCCGGUGAUGGCGAAGUAAAUGACUGCUCAUAUAGAACAUGCGGCAUUCGCACUGAACAAAGUUUAGGAAUAGCCAGAAUGCAUAUAGGUGGUCGGUUCAUGUGCUCUCUGCGUGAACUGAAGCGGUACCGCGAUCUGUCACUCCACAGAGUGCUAAGAAAGAUCACGACAGCUCGAGAGACGUCCAUGGUCUCACUCCAGUAUGGGAAAGUAGUCAGUCACUCCUUGUGUUUUAUGAAUAGGCUAACAGGUGAGCUGAGGGAUUGCACAAAAUUACAUACAUCUCUAAAAUUACUACGCAAUAGGCGUGUGAAGUGAAUGAGUGUAAACUGAGCUCAGCGCAAAUCAAAUAGCCGUGCUGUUUGUCUCUCAGAAAUCAGAGCCUUGCAAAAAAUUAGUCUAAUACAUCAAUAAAAUACUGCAUCAUAAACAUUUUCUACUAUUUGUUAUGUAUUUAAAUGAUUUAAACCUUGCAAGAUGAUAGAUGAAACACAAAUGGGCAAAAAGUAUGAAAUGAGCAGCGCGUUCGUAAAUCAAAUAGCCGCGUUUCUCUUGCGUCUCUCAGAAAUCAGCUUUGUCAGUAAUAGGCUGCUAUCAACUAAAACACUACAUCAUCAUACACACUUUCUACUAUUCAAUGUCUACUUAAAUGUUUAAAACAUUGUACGAUAUGAUAAAUUAAUUAGUGUAAAUUGUAUGAAUGAAAUGAAGCACGCGAUAGCAAGUCAAGACAAAUUGUAGGACUAUAUUUCUUUCCGCAGCCAAAUGCCGCACGCCGGAGAUCCGGCACGGUGCCGGAAAACUUUAAGCCCUGAGGGCAGAACGUCUGGAUGUGCACAGCUGAAUCAUCAGACUAGCUAGCGCGCUGAUGGGAACCAAGCACAGAGAUGGCACUGAUAGCCAGUCGCAACUGGAGCGUACUGCCACAGCCACACAUCCAGACUGCAGCCCCCCUUUACCUUCAUUAUAUGGACAAAAGUUGCCAGGAUAUUCUUCAAAAAAUUGUCUUGGCAGUGACAACUGAACAUCUUUCCCUGCUACACUCACCCCUCCCACAGUAGGGCUGCCCUGGCACGAACUCGGCAGCAUUGACCCAGUCCACUGCCCCCAAGCCUUGGGGCUUCUCCUGGGCGUCGGUCG